rnacentral:rRNA from 1 species
AUAGAACGCUGGCGGCAGGCCUAACACAUGCAAGUCGAGCGGAUGAGAAGAGCUUGCUCUUCGAUUCAGCGGCGGACGGGUGAGUAAUGCCUAGGAAUCUGCCUGGUAGUGGGGGACAACGUUUCGGAAGGAACGCUAAUACCGCAUACGUCCUACGGGAGAAAGCAGGGGACCUUCGGGCCUUGCGCUAUCAGAUGAGCCUAGGUCGGAUUAGCUAGUUGGUGGGGUAAAGGCUCACCAAGGCGACGAUCCGUAACUGGUCUGAGAGGAUGAUCAGUCACACUGGAACUGAGACACGGUCCAGACUCCUACGGGAGGCAGCAGUGGGGAAUAUUGGACAAUGGGCGAAAGCCUGAUCCAGCCAUGCCGCGUGUGUGAAGAAGGUCUUCGGAUUGUAAAGCACUUUAAGUUGGGAGGAGGGGCAGUAAGUUAAUACCUUGCUGUUUUGACGUUACCAACAGAAUAAGCACCGGCUAACUCUGUGCCAGCCGCCGCCGUAACAC